GUAUAAUCUUACGGGUCAUACCAUACCAUCCAUGCUUUGAGUUAGGGAUGUCAAAAUAGGUCAAAAUUCAUGGGUCAACUCAACUCAACUCAACCCAUGAACCCUAAUGAGUUGAAAAUUUUGACUCAAAUGAGUUGAUGAGUCAAAUGGGUUAAUGAGUCAAUUGGUUUGAUGAGUAAAAUGAGUUGGGUUGUAAUGGUUAAUGGUUUCAAUGGUUUACCCAAUUAACCCAUCAAAUUUUAUAAAAUUGAAUUAAACCAACUAAAAUCUCUAAACCAAUGCCAAUUUAAGUUUAACCAACACAUCUAAACAAAUUUAAUAAAAUUAAUAUUUUUCCAAAUUUCUUAAAUAUACAAGCGAUGAAAUUGAGAAAAAAUA
rnacentral:sRNA from 1 species